rnacentral:rRNA from 1 species
ACUCAAAGGAAUUGACGGGGACCCGCACAAGCGGUGGAGCGUGUGGUUUAAUUCGACGAUAAGCGGAGAACCUUACCAAGGUUUGACAUCCCAGGAAUCUCUUGGAAACGAGAGAGUGCCGCAAGGAGCCUGGUGACAGGUGCUGCAUGGUCGUCGUCAGCUCGUGUCGUGAGAUGUUGGGUUAAGUCCCGCAACGAGCGCAACCCUUGUCGUGUGUUGUAUUUUUCACGCGAGACUGCCUCGGUUAACGAGGAGGAAGGUGGGGAUGACGUCAGAUCAGCAUGGCCCUUAUACCUUGGGCGACACACGCGCUACAAUGGCCGGUACAAUGAGUUGCGAAACCGCGAGGUGAAGCUAAUCUCAUCAAAGCCGGUCCCAGUUCGGAUUGGAGGCUGCAACUCGCCUCCAUGAAGCCGGAAUCGCUAGUAAACGCGGAUCAGCCACGCCGCGUUGAAUACGUUCUCGGGUCUUGCACACACCGCCCGU